rnacentral:lncRNA from 1 species
CCAAACUCAGUGCUCCUGAUGCCUGGCCGUCGCUAUGGGAACGCAAACUUUGGACAACAUUGGCUACUCUGACUGACCUGUUAGCUACAGUAGCUAGAUACUUUUACCCCAAAACAAUGAAAUACCUAACGUAGAGAAAUACAUUUCGUUUCCUGGACAAAAUGACUUGGAGAAAUAUCGACCCUUUGUCACUUGAUGAGACCAUUGAUGAAGGGAAAGAGGAGAAGGAUGUGGAGAAGAGAAGAGCCUCGGUGUGGGAACAUCAGGAGCUAGCCCAGAUUCCUAUCAAGGUGCUGAGGGGUCACACAGAUGCUGUCACCGGCUGCCACUUCUGCUUUGAUGACACCAAAGUCCUGACCAGUUCCCAGGACAAGACGGCCGCUCUGUGGGACACGGAGAGUGGCGCCGCGCUGUUGGUGUUUGAGAGAGGACAUCUGUCCAACAUCUCUGAGUGUGCCUUGAUCCCUGACAAGAAAAGGUGAGUUGUCAGUGUGUUCCCAUCGCCUACCCUUCUCCAGGAGUGUGCACUCGUACACUCCAAACAUAUUCCUAACACCAGAGGGGGAGUGUACACUUUGCACACUUUGGGAGAAGGGUAGAUCAUCAUAAUGGAGCCUUGCUGUUAUCAGAAUGGACCACAGAAGCCCUUGUCUGUUUGUUGUGACUAGUGAUUUAUACAUGAGUUAUAACUUCAUUUAGUUGUUUUGUUUCCUCAAAUAUCACAUCCCACAUAUCUGGUUAUAGGGCUGGGGAUAGGGAUGGUUAUAGGGCUGGGGAUAGGGCUGGUUAUAGGGCUGGGGAUAGGGAUGGUUAUAGGGCUGGGGAUAGGGCUGGUUAUAGGGCUGG